CCAGCUUUUCACAGAACUACUUUAGUUUGGUCUUGUGCCUCUUGCUACCAAGGCUGGCUGCUAGCUCUCCUCCCAGGCACUGUCCUUCCACCCCUGUCCUGAGGGCUGUUAGCGUUACCAUAGCACUGGGAGGGAAGCCAGAAAAUAACCCGGGGAUGUUUUGUCAGCCCUACCUGUAUCAUCCCUGUGUGUUUGCCCAUCAGAGCUGUGGGAGACAUGGAUGAGCGAGGAGAACCUGUAUCAUUACAGGAGGGGCUCCUGUGCCAGGGAGAUCAUCUUCAUGAAGAUCUCCCUGCCAACCAAGGAGUUACCCAUGGCCCUUUGAGAUUGCCAGAGGGACUUCCAGAGUUAAAGAGACUUUGGGGCAUGCCUUAGUGUAUCUCUGUCUUGCCACUGCUGAAUCGUACUGCGCCCUCCCAUCACCCUGGCAUUUAAACAGAGAUUGAAUUUAUAGUUGUCCUCCUAGGAGUUAAAACAACAAAAAAAGAUAGAAAUUGCCAUUUCCCACAUUGUCUUGCAUGUAAAAAUAACAGACUCCACAGUUGUCCCCUUUUGGUGUCUACAUGGACAUGUGGGAUCAGUUCUGGGGGCAGAAAACAGGGGUGUUUGAGUGGCCAGUGAAGAUACAUUACCUCCAGGUGGCAGCUCAAAUUCUCCUCUGACUUGGUAGCAGCAAGAAAUUUUGCUGCUUUGAACAGAGGUGAUGAAAACCAACCAGAUGGAUCCCUUGUUGUCCCAGAGCAGGGGAGGAGGCGUUUCCGCAAGCCAGCUUGGAGCGCACCUUCGGACACAGCACAGCACUCGCUGCGGCUCCGCUCCGAGGUCCUCGUGCUGCCCAGAGCUGAGUUUAAAACUAGCUGAGCCUCCCACCCACCACAUGAUUUACUAAACCACUAAGAUAUUGGGUCAGCCCUGUAAAUCAUUUUAAUUAUUUCACUAAACAGGUUGUGGAAUUAGAUCAUUUAUGCUUACAAUGCUGUGCAUUCAUUAUGGAAAAGAAAUUAUAUUAACUGAUUUAGGAGCUAAUAAUAACUGAAAAUAACAAUUUAAUGGAAGCCUUCCAAUCCUGCACUUUGAAAGCAGGAUGCAGCUAUACGCCGUCUACCCAUUUUAAUCUCGGUAUAUACCUAGCAAUUUUUUGACUCUCAGGAGAAUGUCAGUCAAGUACAUGCAAACUUGCAGACUUCCAGCAUCCCAUAAAUUACAUUAUAAUAAAACAAAACCAAAGAAUCUGUCAACAACCAUUUUUACAUACUGGCAGGGUCACAUGAACCAGGCACAUGAAAAAUAUAUGUAUGAAAAUAUAUUGAAGUAUAACAAAGUGGAGGUGGUGCACAGCAGGGACUAUUUCCCACUUGCAAUUGCUAUUUCCACAAGACGGUGGUUUGAGCUGCUGGGCUUGACGGGCACAUCUCUCUCACUCAAAUGUUGGGGGUUUGUCUCAAACAUCUGAAUACUAAAUGUAUGCUAUUUACAUGAAAUAUAGAGAGAGGGAGGAAGACAAGCCAGAAAAAACUACUCUCUCCUGUGCAGCAAAAGGCGGGUGUCACCAUUCAGUAGUUGGGAUCAGCAUUGCUCUGUUACAUUUUACUGUAGCUAUACUAAAUUUGGUAGGCUGUGUCCUGGUUUUCUUAAUGCAUGCAUAAGUCACCUGUGCUGUUAAAAUAUUUUAUCCUGAAAUAAGCUGUACAUUGUGACUAUUUAAUGCCUUAUUGGCCAUCGAGUAACUACGCUGAACCAGGCAGGCACGACUGUGGGCAGAAUUUAAGCUGCAAUCAGAUAGUGUACCUAUGUUGCCUGCUCGUUUGAAAGCCUGCAACCUCCUGAUAGGCAGUUGUCACAUCAGCUAUCUCCACUCUGCUUUGCAGGCAGUGUUAAGCUUUUCUUUAAGCCCUCAGGCUAGAUAGCAUUUGAAUUACGCACUUCAUCGCACCCCAAUUAGCUAGGGAUGCAUGACGAAAAUCAUUAUCAGUGAGUUUAUUUGGGAAAACACCUUAUUUUGCUACUUGUUUCAGCAUAUUAAGAAGAAAAACACACCCCCUUUUUCUCCACUGAGAAAAGCUUGUUUUAGAGCAGAGCGAAACUUUGAGCCAUGGCAAAUCGUGCAGCUCCUGCUUAUUCACCUGUCGCCUUGAGCUCCAUCGGCUGUUUUGGGAACGUUAAGUGCUGCUCAAAUAAAAAUACAUGGCUUCAGCAUGACGGCAGACCUGACUGAGCACAUUCCUGGCACAGGCUGUGCACUGUGUCUGUCUCCUACUCCCAAAACCUCACAGCAUGGGAGUUUUAAGCGUCCUCAGGUAAACGGUCCCCAUGGUUUCCCAGGCCGUCUCCCCUCCUCUCUCACCGUUUUGCGAUCGCACUCCCAGCUCCCAACAACGAGCGGGCUGGAUGUUUCUCCCAAGCCCUGUAAAUGUCAGCAGCAACAGAUGAGCGCUGAACGAAGGGAAACGCGCCGUGUGAACACAUGGCAUUUUCAUGGCCCUGAACACGAGCAGCGCUUUCUCUGGUGCUGCUCUGCUCCAAAAACCUGCAGUGGCAAGGCUUGAACCACCACAGGAAAUGAGCCUAAGCUGGAUUGACUUUUCCAUGCGCAUUUACGACCAUGUUGACACACACUUUCUGAACCCAGACAAGCUCCAUGCAUUUGCUUUUGAGACUUUGCUUUAGUGAAAAUGCUUUAGUGUUGCGUAAGUAGCGUAAGACAACUCUGGUCUUAAAAUAAUUAACCCUUGUGUUAAUAAAGAAAUGUAAUGUUCUUGAAAAAUAUUGCAGAAAAGUUCAAUUUCUCACAUAUGACAUUGCAGCAAGCCGGAUUUAGUUCCAUUGACUCAGUCUUGACAUUACAUCACGUUACAGUUCAGAUUUUGACAGAUGCGGGGUGUGUGUUGCUCACUACUAUGUGCUUGGGUUUGAGCUCCUCCAGUUCUGGCGGCAGCGAGGCGAGCUGCCUUCUGUCUCUCCCUACAUGUGGAAAAACUGCAAGGUGGCCACACCAGCAAACCCACAACAGGAUCAACGCACCAGUAUGUACCCAGUUUUGGUCUUCCUGUGUUGUCAAACCCUGCUUACUUCUCUGGAGACCGAAAUGCCGGUGUUAUUAAUUAUGAAAAGAUUUCACUUUAUAAGGAGUCUGGCUGUUGACUUCAGUGGACUCAGCUAGCUCGGAUACAAAGUCAUUAGCUCAACCAGCAACUUACCCAUAAACUGAAGUUCAUUUUAACCAGGAUUGCAAUUAGCACCUUGCUGGGCAUUUAACUAAUUUGAGACUUUCAUAACACUAUACUAUAAAAGUUGAAAUUAUAUCCAUGCGUUUUAUAAAUGGAUUACACUAUUAUCAUUAUUUGUAGCACUGAAUGAUAGUAUUUUUACUAUCUUGCACUGAAUUAGCAUAAAUGUGAGUGUAUCUGGUAAAUAUCAAAAAGUAACUGAUUCCUUAAUCAAACUGUACAUUUUCAUUGUCUGAUUUGUUGGCUUUAGCUUCUGUUGUGCACUUUCUCAAGUGCCUGUAUUCCCCUCAAUGUAACAGGUAUCACUGAUAGACUUGGUUUGGUCUAGACCAUCAUUCCAGACAGCUAUUCCUGGCCCUGGUUUGGAUUUAGGUGUGCACACCAUAUCUUUGUCCAAAGAUUUAUCCGCAAGCUCACACACAGCUUGGCUGAGCCCCGGCAAGGCAGCUGUCCCGAGCUUGGAGCAAUGUAUAUUCAGGGUGACAGUGUGGGGUGUUUCAACAACUUCCUAAUCCCUCUUGGAGACACAGGAUUAGUUUAGGGAAAGCAGGCUUUUAAACCGGAGGAUAGCUUUUCCUUGUGCUCCUGCUGUCCUCGCUGGCUUGAAGCUGGGGGAGAGGUGGUGGCUGUCCUGCUGGAGCAGAGCGGGUGGGGAUGAGCCUUGCACUGGGACACCUGGCAAGAAGCACCCUGAGCUGCACCGCCCAUGGCUCAGCCCCUGCUGUCCUGCUUUCGGUGCCUUCUGAGGGGAUCCCAGAAAGCACAGGAAGAAGGAAAGAGUCCUCUCCACCAUGUUGAUGAUGCUCUGGAGGCCCCAAAAGUCUGUGAGUGCAUGUCUCAGAGCACAGACUGUGCCCAGCCCAGGGCUGCCUGAUGCCAUGGGAGGGCACGCGUCCCAAACAGCCAUUUAGCGGUCAGAGGCUUCGCUAAAGUCUGGCCAAGCUGCUCCUGGCUAGGUCACAGCAAUGCACCAUGUUGCUCUUCUUGGGAAGGAAGGGUGAGGCAACACCCAAAGGGGGUGUCAAAGUCCCGACCCCGACCUUCCUCAUACCCAUCCUAACUGUGCAGCAGCUCUCCGGGUGGGGCUGAUGACACAUUUUCAAAACUGCAAAGACAGCUGAUUAAUGACGUACUGACAGGUAUCAGUCACUUGGAUCAACUCUGACAACUCUGGAAGCACUGAAAUACAACUGUCCAUAACAGUAAAUAAAUUAUAGCAUAUACAUUAAAAAGAAGCUCCACCAUGGGAAUUGAGAGCUAAAUCUCAUGUUUACCAUAGAUUAUGAAUACAGAAGCACUCCUAAAAAAACUGAAAUUAAAAACUACUGUAAGAAACACAGCACUUGGCAAUCAGACGUAUCCUACUAAUUUCUGCCAGAACAGCUGACUUUGACUGACAGCCUAAAUAUCCAUACCUGCCCAGAUACUACAUAGAUCACCCUGAGACCCAAAAUGAGUCAUGAUACUUGCUGGAUUGUCAAAGCAACAUACAAGCCUGAAAAAUAUUUAGUAAUGAAGAAUUCCUAUUCUAGUUUGUUAAAAAAAAAAUCAAUUACUUCAGAUUUUCAAGGAAAAUGACAAAGAAUAUCCAAAAGUAAGAGUCCAUUUUAUGUGGUCCUGUGUUUUUUCAUCCUGCAUAACACUCCCAAAGUCUUACCUGUUGCUUCCUAUUUCAAGGCUAUUAAUACAGAGAUGAAUUAAAGUUUUAGACAGAUCUGGUCAUGGAAUAGGAAAAAAAAAACCAACAACCCGACCCCCUUCCCAUCUUCCCCAGAGUAAAUCCCAAAAAUGUCCUACUAGGAAGGUAUAAUCCUCAACUGAACUGUAAGCAUUUUUGAGUUAUUUAUCAAGACCUUGGUCAUUUAAUUUGUAUUAAACUACAGAUGAUUUUCCAUAUGAGAUUUAAGAAACAUUUUAACAAUAACAGGAAACCAAACCUAUAGGCAACAAACAAGGAAAUCCAUUAACAACUCUACAGCGCAGCCCUCUUCAAUUCGACUCUUAAUAUAAAACUGGAAGUUGCUUAGAAUGUCCAUAAUUGGUAUAAUUAAAAUGCUGGCAGUCACCUGGGGGCGAUUUCAAUCCAUUCAUUGACAUCAGCAUGGAUGCUUAAAAAAAGCCAUCUUGUUCACUGCUAUAUUCUAUACUGUCAUUGAUGCAGAUCUGAACCACAUAUUUUCCUCUGCUGGCUCCACUUAGAAUAAUAUCCAUCUUUACUCAGCAGAGAUUGCUGGGUUUUAGACACAUGGUCUAAAAACAACAACAGAAAGCCCUCCCUUCCCCUGUCAAGCCACAGGGCCAUGUCCAGAGAAGGGCGCUGCUGCUGUGCUGGGGUGGGACAGGGUGGUGCAGGAAUCCCUCACAGCUGCCCUCCUGCCUCACUGGGAUUUUUCCAGCCUUUCUCUCGUUCCCUUUGUUUUAGGGCCCAUUAUUUUUCCUAUGGAAUAACUGUAACUGCUCCUGUGUGAACAAACCCCAAACCUGUCCCACGCACCCACACAGCCCCAGGCUCUGCCUCAGGGCAUCUCCUCGGAGAGCGAAGCCCCCCACUGCCCGGCAGCCUCCUGCAUUGCAGCUCGGUGAUCUGCAGUACUACAAGGCUGCCAGGAGACAAAAACACCACAGAAGCCCAAAAACGGUGAAGAAGAAAAAAAACGUACAUCUUUUCUCUGCUGUAAGUGAAUGUUUUACCAUCUAAAUGCUCUCUUUAUUAAUCAGGAAUAAUUUGCGCAUGUUGGUAUUAGCACUCCCAUGGCUUGCAGCACUUGUUGUUUUCCCUUACGGGGUGGCAGAGAGCCCCCAGGGUGACACAGGGUGUCCCCACAGGCCAGCAGCUCCCCAGGCUGCGGGGCCGAGCUCCCUUGGCAGGGCUGGGUGAGCCCUCCUUGUUCCCUGCAAAACCAGGCAGCACCCUCGCUUGUACAAAUUAAUAUUUUCACAGCAACACCCCCUCCUAUCAGUCUUUGCUAAAAGCAUUAAUUAAGACUUUAACAUUUUUGAUCCCAUCAAUUUUCUGUUCUCUUCUAUUAAAUAGAUGUACUAGGGGAGUUUGAAUAAUAACUGCCCAAAGUUUGGGAAUAAUGGAUAAACGAACUUUGCCAGCCUCUGGCUGAGCAUGAAAUUUACUGUGUAGUAACAAAUGUAACAGAGGUGGCUCAUACAUUAACCAACCUAGUUUUGACACACAAGUUUGGGAGCACAUUAUUUACUUACUUACUAAUUCUAAGUGAGACUAGGCUCCAAAAUGUUUUAUGCGGGAAAUGAAAAAUUACACGUUCAGAGUCUUCUGCAUUCUCCAUCACAGCGUGAAGCUGCUGGCUCACCUGUCUUCCCUUCGGCCGCUCUCUGGCCCUCUUGCCAUGCACAGUGAUGUUUUCAGGACUGCAGACUUCAUUUUCCUCGGGAGUUUUGCCAGGAAAGACGACCAGGAACUAGGUUAUAAAAGACUCACCUUCCCAUGCUCAUACGGAAGCCAAGAACCGUGCUCUUCAGUUUCUUACGCUCUGAUGCGCUUCCAGGCUUGCAACAAACACCUCCCCCAAGUCCUUCCGAGGUGCAGUUCUGCUUUUUGUGGGAUGAUUAUGAAUUAUUCCCCAAUCCACUGGAUAACUACAGCUGGCAUUAAGGAGAUGAAAAUUCUUACAAAGAUUUUAUCACCUCUGGAUCCCCACGGUGAGUUCAUCCCAGUACAAAAGGGUUUUUGUCACCACAGUGCAGUAGCAUGUAUGAAAUACAGAUGCAUUUUGGUCUCACACCCAGUGAGAUGUGAGUGGCACAAAUCCCUCACUAUUACUGGAAGUCCUAGAAAAAGCAAAUUCUGACCAUCUGAGAAAUUGAAAAUCCCUUCCUACCCUCCUUCUAGAAGAGGACUCAGGUAUGAGGUGAGGCAAUGGCACGUCCUGCUUUUGCUCCACAGCUUCUGCCGAGAGAGUCCUGCUGGUGUUGUAGCUGUCACUUUACCAUUUCCACAAUUAAGGUCUUUUCUAAAAUGCUACGCAAAUGAAAGGAUAAGAAUCACAGUCAGACAUAGGAAAUUUCAAAGUAAUUCACUAAAUUCAGCUAGAGGUGGUCAUGUUUCUUUACCAAGUCAUCCUAUUAUCUCACUUAAAAACCAACAGAAAAAUAACUGCUGUAUUUACUGUAAAAAAGCUUCUUUAGAGGAAAGCUCACUUAGUAAGAUAAAUUACACAAUUAUGUAAUUAAAAAAAUCUGAGUAUAUUUUAAAUAAAUAUUGGAACCAGGUCUGGGGAAUAUGACAUUCCAGGUUGAUUAAUUUUUAUUUUCCACUGGUUGAUUAAUCUUUUUUCAAAGAGGCCUGGAAAAAAAAAAACAAAGCAACGUACCUUGAGUGCUCCAUGCUGUCACACUGUCCAUCUGACUAGAUCUUGCAUGAACUGCCCAGAGAUAACUGGUGUCCCCACAGGAAAAUGCAGCUAUAGCUUGUGACUAGCUGUCAGCACAUUCCACUGUGGGGUUUGCAAAUACAUAGGGGUGUGUAAUAAAUAACUGAUGUCAAUUUUGUUCUGUUUGUGAUGCACCUUUCCUCAAUUCUCUGUGCUGUGACAAGGUAGGGAAGACACAGCCAUGAAGCCUUCUCAGGGAGCUUCAGGACACAGGGAAAGGCACACACAUCUGUAAAAACUUUACUUCAAAAUCUUUUUAUUCAACUGUUAUUCAGCAAUAUACAAUACAGUUUAUAAACAAAUGUCUUACCUUGUUCCAAUCUUCAUUUAAAAAUAAAUAUUAUUGACAGUGAAUAUUAAUUAUGGUAAGAUGUAUCUUUUAAUUAAAAUGCCUCCAAAAGAAAUAAUUUAAUAAAAAAGAAAAAGGAAAUCCAAAAAACCUAAACACAAUAAUCUACUAAAAAUAUUUCCUUUCUUAGGAAGGGCUUUGACCCAACAUCUUUACAUAUUGUCAUAAAGGUAACUGCUCAACAGUUCGUGCAAAAUGAAGAGUCAGAGGAAAGGUUUAGAAAAGAAAAAAUAUUACAUUAAAAUAGAGAAAUCAUAAGUGCCAUGCACAGAGCAGGCCUUUACACCAUAGAGUCUGGAAACUAGAUGUAUUAUUCUAUGUGGUUUACUUUCUGUGGCAUCCCCAAAAAUAUGGUUUUUUCCCUCACAUAGGAUUUAUCAUGCUUCCUUCAGUCUCUUUCUGUCCAUCUUUAAAACUGUAGGUAUUUUUUUUGUCAGAGUUUUGUUCUGUUUUUAAAUAGGUUCCUUUUUGUUUGGCUGAGGAGGAGUGGAAGUAGUAGUCUGUCAGUGGUUUACUAAUAAAUGUACAAGCUUAUGCAGUAUUAACAGGAACAUAUAUAGGAGUGGGUCUGUAGCAUAAAUAGGUCCUGUACCUAGAAAAGAAAGAGACAAGGGAGAGAAGAAGAUUUUAUUCUUUAUCUUUUCCAAUAUAGAAGAUUAAAUGCAGAAGAGAAAUAUAGGAAGAUUUAUUUUUAUCACUUCAGAGCCAGGGGUCAGAAGCUUAAUUUUAAUAGUAAAACAGCAUCCUCAAGCUAUCCAACUCAAAUAGCUUUCUCUUCCCCCUCCCAAAUCUAACUCCACUUAGGUCAUUUCAUUAUGCAUUACUAAUGGUAUGCCUAAACUUGGCUUCAGCCAAGUUACCAGCAAUUGAGAUUUCUAUAAAUACACCUUAAUCUGGUAUAUAGUUUCUUGAGAAAUGACAGGUAUCAACCACCCAUUACUUUAAAGGGAAAUGACAAAUGCUGCGGCUGUACUCCUUGAUUAACAGGACAUGAACCCAUUUCAUUUGGAAUGGGAACAGUGAGACCUUGACAUCUUCUUUACCUUUUAUAGGAAAGAGCAGAAUUUUAAAUUAAAAAUGUGCACAGAAGCUAUAGAAAAACAGAGGUCAGAUGUGGAACACAUCUGUUACGGUCACUGCAUCCAAAUUCAGAGAGGACAAGACCAUUCCUGCUUCUAUGAGGUAAGUGUACGUGGCGUGUAUGGGGCCGCAGGGGUAGUUAUGUAUGUGCCAGCAAGGGAAAGCAGGUGCCUGCAACCUUACAGCUGGAGUGGGAGGACGCAGCUCUCUGGGCAGGGGCAGAUACUGACGCCUUUGCUCCCUGCGAGAGGUGGCAUCCGUGUCCGCAGUGCAGCUAACUGCAGCACUAAUCACUUGCCUCGUAUUCACUUACUUACACUAAGGGACUUGUUCAGUUUAUUUUCUAGUUACCUUCACCAAAAAGGAGGAAUUUACUGUGUGCCACCACAGUCUGGGUGCUCUCCCUCGUGCGGGAAGGCUGAGGUCCCUUGGCCACGCUCCGCCAGGACACCGGCAUGGCGUGGGGUGCUGGGCGGCUCCGUCUCUGAAAGGCGUCACUGCUCUGCUGCGGGCAAGGGCGAGAGCAGCCCCUUCCUACGGCGGGGUUCUGCUGUCCUGGUGCAGCCUGUGCCGUUGCUGCAGGACAAGAGAUCGCUGCCUUUCACACCCCAAGCCCCGGCCGAGCCCGCACAAACAAGGCCGGACUGGGCCGCGACGGCAGCGGUUGGGUCCCAAGUGCCAGCGGGCGACACCUUUCCAAAGCCAUGACACGGACUGGUGUGUGCAGCUGUCACCAACGCUGUAACAUGACAACGCAGGGCUGCACAGCCAUGACUGAUGUCUCACGCGGCCGUGGGACAUUUCCGCAGGGGUGAAUGCAAAAGCAGGAGCCCAGGCGGAGCUCUGCCCUGCAGCUGGAGUGCACGGAGGCACCCCGGGAGAGGCUUCAUCAGUGCUGAACACCCUGCGUACAGGAGCAAUCAGUGCCCAAAAUACUGACAGCCGUCCGGAAAAGUGACUGCCGGAGCCACUUUGCAAAGCAUGAAAGCUUUUUAAAAAAAAAACCAAACCACUAAACAAAACGGUUUUUGUGUUCAGUAUCUCUGAAAAAGGAAUCAGGCCACUUCUAUUUAGGAAACUCACUUCAGGCACCCUAAUGCAAAUACUUGAGUAUUGGUCUCUAGGAGAUGUGACUCUCAGCUGUGAUCAAGGGAAGUACCUCCAACAGUUCCUGAGCAAACCACUGUUCUUGGGCUCGCUGUUCAGGCUGCCUCCUCGCCUAUAUAUACCCCACCAGCAAAGCUAGAGUAUUAUUCUCCAGUAUCAAAAAAUGGUUCAUAGUAAUGUGGCGUGCAAUUGAGGAACUCAAGAAAUGUCCCCAUAGUGCUAUCUCGUAGAAACCUAGACUGUGUGGAGAUUAUUUAGUUAUUAAGGUUUUAAUUAAAUCCUUGCAUGCACAAGCACGUGGCUAAGGGCUGCCUACAUAGCAACAGCAAGGCAUUAAGAUGAAUACAGGAUUUUUCUUUUAAAGUUGAAAAUCAUUAACAGACACAAUUAACUCAGGUAACUAAAGGAAUAAGUCGUUACAUUCUUGUAAAAAGACAUUAGAAGUGUGUGCAGGGCACAACAGCUGCUAAAGCUCAGGUUCCCAGCCAGCACAUGGGACGGACCAUCACCAGCCCCAAGGCUCCCGCUGCUCUGAGGCAGCAAGGCAGGAGCUCGCCCGCUCGGACUCGCCUUCCCUGCCCCAGAAAGCAGCCCUGCAGAGCCGAGGUGCAAGGAGGGUCUGUCCCUGGAGACCUGCAGGCAGGACAAGCAUUCCCCUUCCUGCACGGAGAGGGUGAGGGCAGCGGGAGGCCUGCCUGUGCCAAUGCCAACCCUGCCAGACUGCAGCCUCUCUGCCAGCCUGGGAGAAGCAGGGCUGUGACAGCCGUUCCCCAGACUCAGGGACCUCCCUCCUCCAGCAGGUCCUGUGUUCCCUUAAAAAUAUACAGGCAAUUCACAAACACAUUAUAUCCUACAGUUUUAGCGAGGAUAAAACCCUAACAACAAAUCUACCUACACCAGCAAGAGAAGACAGCUUGCUGAGUGGGAAGGCUGAAGGUAACCCCCCUUUCCUGCCCGUCUCUGAGCCUAACACACUACGUGGUACCUGAAGGCAGGCUGCUUAUUCACAAAUUGCAGUCACUGGCACAACAGACCCAUACCUCCAGUCAGCACGUCCCUAUUUCCAAGCUGUCAGAUGGCUCCUCUCACUUCUGAGACAUGGCACAGCUGCAAGAUCGCCAGCCCAGGAUGGUGCCCAUGUGUGCCCGUGCCCGGGGAUGGCAGGGGCAGCUCGGCAGCAGCUGACUCUCCUGGCAGCUGCACGCAGCUCACAGGUGCCCAGUCUGUGUCCAUUCCACACCUGCCCACCACUGCAGUGAAGAUCCAGCUGCAGGUAUUUAUUAUGCUCAAACCUGAGGGUAGUGAAAAACCAUUUUUCCCUGCCAGGGCUGAACUUAAUUUUUUCAAUGAACAGGACUUGAGUUUGAGGAGAUGCUGCAGGUUACGCAAAAAGAAAGCUCAAUUUGUGUAAGGGGGGAAUCCCCCUGGAAAUGCUGAGGAACUCAACGUGGAGGAACAGGCUCUUGUAGCUCAAGUGCUCUUACAACCAUCACACUGAAGGGCUGCAAAGGACACCAGGUUAGGAUUGUUUCUGGUUUGGAUGGAAAUCAGUAUUAGUCACAACCCCAUGGAGGCUGUGUGCCUGCUUACUAAAAUCAUUCCUAAACCAGUUUUACCUUUGUUUAAAUCUCAGUGCAGAACUGUGAAUGCAACAGUCCAAAUUUUUGUCUUUUCCUCUUGUAGAAACUGCUGUUGUUUUCAAUUUACAUCCUCCAUCAUCUUAAUUUGACAGUAGAAUGUGAGUUCAGAGUCUGCUAACAGAAUCUCAUCAGUUAAAAUAUAUUUUAAAAAAAUUAUUUGAAAGUAGUUACUGAACACCAAAUAUCAGUUUAUUUUUUCAUACUGAUUCAGUGCUAUUCUGCUCCAAGUCUUCAGGCAGUAGAAGCAAAUACACAGAACUUCAGAAUUCUCCUCCCUCUGCCAUAAGCAGACUGGAAGUAUAAUUUCUAGUAAUUUCUCCCUUUUUAGCUACCCCAAACCCUUCUCAUUAUAGGUAGUAUUGUUUAUAAGCAAGCUAGACUUAGUGUCCUCAAUUCUGCUUUUACUGCAGUAGUGGAAGUCUUGACUUUUACUCAGUAAAUCACUAAAUUUGUAGAUGUAAACCAAACAGAAUGUGGUCUCGACCACUAGGAUAUGGCCAUGCAAUCGACCCAGAUUCGAGAACAGUUUCUAUCCAGAGACUCUACAUCAGGAGUACAUUGUUACCAAAAAACUACAGAUGCUUACAAUAAAACAUUUAAUUUCUAUUUUGAAUAUUCAUUUAAAGUUUUGUUAUUGUAAGCUUAUUUAUCACUACACAGAUUUACAGUUUUGCUUUUAAAUUAUUUAUAUGCACAUGGCUAAAAGGGAAACUCUACCCCUAAGCAGAACAAUACCAAAUCGUUCUGUGUAUGGUGAAUUGCUCUCUAGCAUCACACACCCUUCUUUUCGAUUUACAACAUAAUAAUGUUUUACUGUAGUUUUCUAUUUAAUACUGUUCUGUGCCAGCAUUCAGCGAAGUCUGACUUAAAACAGUUCAACCAAUUGAAAACAAACAUUAAUUAACCAAGUGACUUGUAACACAUGCAAAAAAUGGGAUGAUUCUUUUACAAGCUGUAUUUAACCAAUGGCCAAAAUCCACAGUUUCCAGAAGUUUCCUAUUUUUCUUCUAGAAAAAAUCUGAAAGGUCCCUUGAUAUCUCUUUCGGAGAUAGUGGUAAAAUGCAGUGGCCCAUAUAAUAAAAAGCUGAAAGACAUCAGCAGCCUGUUUUCCUUGAAAUAUGGGGUAACGCCUGAAAUCUGACUGCCUCUUCAUGAUGGAGUUGGGACCCUGGUUGGUAGUAUCACAAGACAUUUCUCUGUACUGGCUUUUAUGCAGUGACCUGUUAGCCUCAGCCUGUUUUCCUUACAGAACUAUGUUCAAUUAAAACUCUCAGACCUGGCAUUUCAUUAAGAGAUGAGGGAUCAAACUGACCAUAUCGACUGAUUAUUUCUCUCAGUCCAGAAACUUUAGACUGUGCUCAAGACAUACUAUUGGAGAAAUUGCUCCUACUAUGUUGUAUCUAUAGAAAAAAUAGGGUUUUAUAUGGGUUGCUGGUCAAGGAUCAUUACAGGCAAUAACCUCCUAGAUAAAACAAAUUCUCUCUCACUGACAUACAUUUGGAGCACUUCCACUGAAUUGAAGGGAAUUUACCAAACUUCAGAUCUAAGAGCUUCUUAGAAGUUUUUAAUUAAAAAGACACCAUUACUAAAGUCACUAUACACUUACUGAACUGAAGAGAUAAUAACCUCCACCACAUUAGAAUUACUCCACAGUCUGAGACAUGAUCUUAUAAGCUGCAUAUAUCCUUCUUCCACUCCUCAGUACUUAGAGCACAAUCCACACACUGCAUUUUUGCUAUCAGGGUUUUUUAAAGGCUUGUAACUGGUGCCUUAAACCUCCUAGCCCUCACCAAGCACUAAUUCUGCAGGCUGCUGUGCAGAAGUGUAUCCAGAGCCUGUGCUAACUUCAGCACAUUCUCCCAGCAAAACCCUAGAGCACUGCAUGUAACCUGACAAGCUCCUGUUAAAUAUGUGGCUCUAUAGAAAUCUAUGCAAAAAUACUUAACUAUGGGGUCCCCACUGCUCCUGGCUUUCAGCUGGCUGUGGAUCACCAUGCCUAGGUACAACCAGAAACAGCUCCUGAGCUGCCUUUUGGUGUCACUAAUUUUGGCAAUGGUGACUUCCCACCUAUUUAUAAGCAACUGCAUGGGCUCUGCUCACCACUGAACCUGCCUAGAAGGCACAAUGACAAAAUUAGUUUUCUACCCACUAUGCAUUUUUAUUUAUGAUAUGCUAAAUGUUGGAACAGUUUUCUCUAACUAAUCUCAAAAAAAUGCCUCAUAGAAGCCAGCACAUGUAUUUAUUUCUAUACAACCAGGCAGGUAUAAUCUAGUUGGUACUGCUUUCUUCCUUCAUUCAUGCCACCAAGGUUUUUAAGGUCAAGAGAGUAAAUCUCACACAGCUGGGUGAACUAUCAGCAUUGCCCCCAUAUCCUUCUUGAAAAUGCCCAUGUUUCAUUUUCCUUAUCCACACCAUAGCCUCAAACUCUGCAAUAAACUGAAACCAGUUUUACCAGGCAGAAGAUAUUGGCCAGUUUUGUAAAACUGUGUCUUCAUUUUAGGUCUUCUCAAAUACACCUGAGUUUCACUGUUUGUCCACCUUCUCUCUUAAGAUAUCCACUGCUAUGUUCAGGCCUGUACUUAGAAGUGAAUUGCCAAAAUACCAUGUAACAAGGGUAACUGAAAGCCAAUCCUAUCCUAAUUUUGGAAACUCGACAGGUUUUAGUAUUUCAAGUAAGAUUGCAUUUGCAUCUGGAGUAUUUAGCACUCCUGAAAUGACUGUUUGACUUGCCCAUACCCUUAUCUAUGUGUUGGGCUGAACUCAGGUGACUGAACACAGAGGUCAGGUAGAAUAUAAAGUGUGAUAACUCUACAGAGGCUGAAUACAGGACAGCACAAUGCAAAUUUUCAGCAUAGGUGAAAAAAAAGAAGAAUGUGUAUGCGAGAAAAGUUAAAUUCUUUGAAGCAGCCUCAUUCUUAAUUUUGAUUGUUCUUGAUGUGACAUCUGAAAAAGCCCAUCUAGGACAGAAGACUGGUGUUUUUGUGGUAAACCACACCACAGCAGAAAGGCAGGGAAACUGCAGCAUACUGAGAGGCAUGACAGCAGUGCUAAGGAGACCAGUGGAACCUUGUUUUCUUGAGAAGGGGCAUCUUCUAGCUCCCUGAGCAUUUCAACUGACAAGCUUAACCCCCACUUUGAGAAAGAAAACUACAACAUAGCUAACCACCCCUGAAUAUUGUAAAGUCCCUGUUCUAGCAUAUUCUAUGAAAAAUGGGUCACGUGCAUCACAUAGUUAGGGACAGAUUAGAAAACAAAGAAAUUGGAUGGCAAGGGGAGGGAGCUGUAGUCAUGCAAGGAAAUGAUGCAGAAGUAAAAGUUUGGUUCCAAUACAAUGCUAAGAAAAAGAUUCCUUCUGCAGUCUUGAUUUCCACAAGUACUGCAGCGCUUUGCUGGAAAUCAAUCUGUAUGAGUGCCUCUGGGAUAGGGCAGACACAGACACUGGUAGAGGAGUUGGGUCUAUGUUUAAGGCACUUGCAAUUACUGAGGUGGAUUUCUGAUCGCAUUAGAGCUCAUUUUGACCGAGACUCAUUAAGGCCAAACUGUUCUCAAAAUAUUAGGACAACAAUCCCUCCCAAACACGCAUAUAGUAUACAAAUCAGUCAAGAGCUCGAUUACCCUCUAUGGAGGCUCUUCCCUUUUUCUCCCAGAUUGUAAGGACGUUAUUAGACAUAAGAUAAAGGAUUAGAUGGACAAUUGACCUGAUCCAGUUCAACAGUUGUUGCAGGUCUGCGUGGCAAGACUUUUUUUAAUUAAAUACAGCUACUAACAAACAGAAAGAGGGGUCAUUAAACUAGUGGACUUGAUGAACGUAAGAAAAUGCAUAUGAGGUACAGAGCAAGAAAUACUUCUACCUUUAUCAAAAAUAUUUCUCUUUUUUAAGUUACCAGAAAAAUAUGCAGUUUCAUUGUCAAUAGGCUUGUAAAAACUCAUCUCCCACUAAAGUUACAAGAAGUAGGAACACACAAUACAGCAAACAGUCAGUACAUUUUCCCUCAAUAUUCCCACUUCCCUCCUGUGGUAGCCAAAGAGGUACAGAGCAGCCUGAAGUCUUACUGAAAGCCUCACUCCACUUCUUCCAAAUGCCCCAUCUGACCAUGAAAACAGCUGUAUUGAGAUAAGGUGGUGUCCCCCCAAAAUGCCAGCAAAGCAGCAGGUGAGCUGCUUCACAUGGAGCGGGGCCCUGGAGGGACUGCUCAUGGGAUCUGUCCUACACUGGAGACAGCCAGAUAAACCGCCCAACCACUCCAAAUAGCCACUCUUGAGAAAUCACGGAAAAACUUCAAGAAAACACCAGCACAUGCUUCAAGAAAACAUCAACGUUAAUUUAUAAGAAGCUCCAAAAGGAAACACUGCUAUAGACAGUGUCAAUGUAAAAUGGGAACAUAUCCUGAAUACUUGAAAAGAGUCAUUCAUUCUAUAUAGAUUACACAAAAUUCUUUGUAUCGGUCUGCAUUUUAAAAAGCGAGUAUCUCUCCUGAGCCCUGCAGCUGGUCUCCACUUUGCAGUACAUUCCCUUAAACAGAUUUCUGCUCUAGUAUCUGUGAGAUGAUCUCUCCUCACAAAGUAUCUUUUUAAAGAGACCCAAACCACGCAACUACAGAUUUGUUUCAUUUCCAGAAUUUUCUGCAGUUCCAUGAUGUAAAACUAACUUAACAAAACCAAGCACCAUUAAUCCACUCCCUGACACUUGAAUAAUGAGAGCUGCAAAAUUCUUUGUAAUGCGAUUUGGUAGAAAAUGAAUUUUGAACUAAAACAUAUAAAAAUAUAACUAACUACAUUAGUGGUAGUUCAGGUGGUAAAUGAACAGCCAGCCCUACACAUCCUUCUUCAGCACUACUAUGGGAGCAAGUCCACAGCAUACUGAUACACACAACCAGCAAAAAGGACAACUCAGACUACCCAAAUCAUGAGGCGGUGAAGAAUACCGGUAGCGGGGUUUCAGCUACUGAGCUUUGAAGUGAGACUGGGCCAUAGUCUCAAGUUUUUCAUUAAAAACAGAAGUAAAAAGCCUUAUGUUGCAAAGAGCAGGCAAACUGGAUAUGGUCAUACAACUCCACAUUGACACUUUAGGAAAAGACUUUCAAUGAAAGUCACACUGGACAGAACCACAGAUUUCACAUUCUAUAACUGAUAAAAGCUGUAAAUAUUUGCAACCUAGAAGUAACAAACAAGACACUGUAGUUCUCACUUCACUGUAUUUUAGAGUAUUUGUUACAUGAUCAGGAUUAAGAGCAAGCUGCCAGUGUAGUUGUAAUUAUCACUCCAAUCAGAAUUACUAAAGUUAAGCAGAUCCAAGUGCAGAUUAUCUAAGGAUUUUUCUUUAAAAAAUAACCCUAUCCUGUCCAUACUUAAAGAAUAGAGCAAAGUGCAUUAGCAGAAUACACAAUGACACAAGGAAAAUGGCUGUAUUGAGAGCAUGCACCUGAAAAAAAAAAAGCAGAGCCUGUCAUUUACAUAAAGAAAGGAUCACCUUUUUGCUAUAAACAAACAGCAACAUUUUGGGAGUGACCCACCGAUACACAGACCCUCCAAACCUUUCCAGUGAUUGAUCUGCUAGAUAUUAGCUAACUGAAGACACUGCUGUACCUUAGAUCUAAGGGAAGCAAAACUUUACAGAAUAAACCAGCAAGGGAUUAUUUAGAAAAACUGGACAUGGUAUAUUCCUCGGUGUUCUCUUUACAUGUGAAAUCUCCAGCUCCCUGGCGUGAGAGGGAUUCAGAUUAGAACACUGAUUUUAAGAUUUAUAAAGUAGUAAAGUAGUUCUAAUUAUACCACUUUGGUGUAUUUUGCACAGCCAAUAAAAUAUCAGACAGAGAUGGUGUCCAUUAGAGGACUCACUAACUGUGCUCUGCCUCAUGACGAAGUUAGCAGUUGCUCCCAGCUCACUCAGCAAGGAUGCUCUGCUUCCUAGCCACAACCAUGCAAACGCCGGGUAAAACCAGAUAUUAUGGCAACUACUCGUCAUCCUGUGUGAGCUUUGUUAGCACAGCUCCCUUCUCCAGCCGUGGCACAACGAUCUGCGCGCUGCGAUCACACUGUCUUCUCCACAGAGCACAGUUGCUGCUCUGCCAAACUGCUCUUCUUUCCAGCUAAUAAAAUUGCCUCCCAACUGAUAACAGCCUAGCAAUAUAAAAUACUCGGUUGUUAACUGCUGUUGUGACAAAUAAUACCGUUCCGCUGACAACCCCAUUUUUUCCAAUACAAACCUACUUGAACUGUUUAUUAUUGACAUAUGGGACUGCUCUGCCAUUACCUAAUUUUAAAAAACACAUAGUAAACAGCAACUGCGAACCUGCCAGCAUUCUCACUGCUUCAGCAAACCCAGACCAAACCCCUUUUAUUACCAGCACAGUCCUGUCAGGCUCUGUUAUGUAAAGAAGAAACACCUUCUUCACAGGACUACUGUAAGAUUAAUUUCCUGGCAGAUCCUACUUUAUGUUUGCUUUCCAACUACAGACCACCACCACUAAUACCCUUCUCAAAACCAGCACCAGUAAGAUUGUCUUGACAUUUCUUUCUGCUAUGAGUGCUACCUAUACCACUUA